UGGACCUAUUCCUUUCUCUUCUCUAGCAGUUUUGUGGUUGUCUGCGGGAGAAAAUUUCCUCCUCCAUCAGACUUCAUAUGUAAUCAUGAAAGGGAGAAUCAGGAUCAGUUGAAGGGUUUUUGGCUUGUAGUAUAUAGUAUAGACUGCAUCUAUGGUUUCAUUGAAGGGAGGGACUCCCAGAAGAGGGAACUCUCUCAAUGAAGGUGCUGAUGAAUUCUAUCUAUACUAGUACUUAUUUAGCUGUCUUAUACAGAUUACAUUACUCUCAAAGGAAGGGAGUGCCUGGAUCUGUACUAUUCUCAGUAGGUCUGGGAAAACCCUCCAGGGUUUAAGUAAAUAUAAUUGAAACAUAAAAAGGCAGCAUAUGAUUUCUUUGUAGGCAGAAAGACCCACCAAACUGACCACCGUUUGGCAAGAUUUGGCCCAACUCCACUGUUAGGUACCCAUCUCCAAAUACGAGGAAGAAGAAAUUAGAUUACCCUCUAGGAUUCAAGUAGGCAACUCCAGCUAAGCUCUGACUAUAGUUUUCACGAUCAUUUACUGCUCCAGUUUUGGUGUGUGAUGGCCUCUGGAACAAUACCAACUCUCCAGACAUUCAUGGACCAUUUAUUGCAAAGACAACAAAAAGAGAGAGGUCCCUGCUCAACUGUCAAGAAUGCUUUGGGUGCCUCAGUCUCUCCCCUGCACUCUUUCAGUUAUUUGCUCUUUGUUUUUGUCAAGUAAAGGGCAUUUUGUCCUUCCCUAGGAUCUGGCUCUCCUUGGUGGAAAUGCCAGUGCAAUAAAAUGCUUUUCAACUUAGUUCUAACUUACUUCCUCUCAGAAGUCUUUGUUCUGUGAGAGCAUCCCAGUGGAAUCAACUCUGUGCAGAAUAAUGAAGCUUCUGGGAUUCCCUCCCCCUCUCUAGUCUGAUUGUUCUCCAUCUAAGGACCAUCCAACUCAGAGAGGAGAGGGUGUACCUUGUUCUUUCUUCCUGCCCCAGGGAAGGGCCUGAUUGGACUACCUUCCUCCUUAGUCCACUAAAUAAUUGCUUUUCUGCUUUUUUCUUGUCAGUUGGUAGGCCCUUAUAACUUUUAGUGGUACUUUUCUGUCUAAUUCUAAAUCUUCUUCCUGUGGAUUUUUCUUGUUUUGAAGGCUGGAUUUGUGUUGAAGGCUACUACUAAUAUUCCCUCCUCCUUUAUUGUGCCUUCAGAGAUUUGGCUAGAAGUAAAAUGCAAUAACUCCUUUUCUUUUCUUUGUUUUUUAAUUUUUCUAACUAGAGGCAGAAGCCUGAAUUAUAAGUUCUUAGCCAUUCUUUCUCUCUCAACUCCCCUAUACAAAACUUUUUGGACAGAAUGCUGUCCAACAUUUCUAACACUGGCACUCAUCUUGGCACCUGGGCACUCACCACGGGGACUCAUCUGACCCACCCAUCCCUCCAGUGACCAUGAACUUGGGCUCUUCUUUGCAAGGAUAGAAACAUGGGAAGAAUCUAAAACCCACCUCAUCUGAGCCAGGAUUGGGCCAAAUUUUCCUCCACAGUCCCCAGAAGAGGGCAGGGUUUCAAUCAUGACUCUGCCAGCUUCCUUUGGCAAGUUAUUCUGAUCUUAGUUUCCUGAUUUGUGAAUGAGACCAGACGAUCUCUAAGGUUUAUGCCCAUAACAAAUGGAGGAUCAUAUGAAAUCAGGUAUAAGCUCUGUGGGUAACAUUUUUAUAGGUAGG
ensembl:lncRNA